rnacentral:piRNA from 1 species
UNCAAGUUCUACUCACUUUAAGCUGUAGC